rnacentral:rRNA from 1 species
UACAUGGGGUGCAAACGUUGCUCGGAAUUAUUGGGCGCAAAGCGCACGUAGGCGGUUUGUUAAGUCGGAUGUGAAAUCCCUCGGCUCAACUGAGGAAGUGCAUCCGAAACUGGCAGGCUUGAGUACUAAAGAGGGUCGCGGAAUUCCCGGAUGUAGAGGUGAAAUUCGUAGAUAUCGGGAGGAACACCGGUGGCGAAGGCGGCGACCUGGGUAGAUACUGACGCUGAGGUGCGAAAGCGUGGGGAGCAAACAGGG